GGAUGUGAGGGCGAUCUGGCUGCGACAUCUGUCACACCAUUGAUCGCCAGGGUUGAUUUGGCUGAUCUGGCUGGCUAGGCGGGUGUCCCUUUCCUCCCUCACUGCUCCAUGUGUGUCCCUCCCGAAGCUGUGCACUUGGUUGAAGAGGAUGGCCUUCCCCUAAUGUUGGGGUCUCUGGC
rnacentral:snRNA from 1 species